rnacentral:lncRNA from 1 species
AAGUUUACAGUUGACACGCCUUGUAAUGCUAACCUUCCCCUUUGCCUCCGAUGAUCUGGGAGUGAGACGGGAGACAAGGCUUGGUAUUGAGAUCAGCAGGCGCCAAGAGAUCUAGUAAGUGACAGCAGAUAUGGCUGAUCCUCCAAAAGGUUCGAUGUUUCGCAUACUUGUUCUAAGAUUACGGAUGUUGGACGAUAUACUGGGGAGUUAUAGAUGAGGGGAAGCUGCAGUUUGGUAAGUCCAAUCUUGUGUCAUGAAUCUGGGGUCUAACAUCCAUCUUUUGCCUGUAGUUUAUGGUUAUUUGUGUCCUUCCCUUUCAUCAGUGCUGCAUCCGAAGCAUUGCUCUUACAUAUGAGAGCUUCAACCACUUGGCAGCAUCAUUGCACAGACUAUUUCGGAACUCAUAUUCUCAGUAUAGCAGGGUUUGAUUCUUUUGCGAGCUACUGUAGGUGUAAAUACUCGUCUCGGGUUUGCCUAUUUGAAUAUGGGUUUAGAGAUCAUGCUGAUUGAUAUUAGGAAAUAUCUUGUUUGAAUUUUCUGUGUGGUGAUGUACUGCUUCAUAUGCUAAAUAGGAGACACUUCUUUAGAUGUUAAUCUUUGGAAGGAAAUACAGCGAUUGGUAUGAUUUGACGGUACUACUUGGCCAACGGUUUGUGCCUUUUGAACCUUGUUCCUGAAAACAUGAUUUACAUAUUCUUCACUGAUUGAUAGAAUUUAAAUGCUCAAAUAGCUUUAUUCUGUCCACUUUAGCAACUUACUCCGAUAUUGAUCUAGACUAUAGAAUAAAUAAACUUUUUUCCUGCAAAGUGCAAGUGGUGAAGGUGGGAUUUGAUCCCAGAAACUUGUAGUGAUUCGGCCAAAGGGUUUACUGGAUGAACUAGCCAGCACCUUUAACAAAUAAUUUAUUAAAUGAGGUUAGAGAAUCCAUCAAACGAAUGUUUUAGGUGGAUCCGGAAUAAAUAAACUUUUAUUAUGAAGGUUCAGUUUUGAACCUUUUCAUCUAUUUGGGUUGCACCUUACUCUGUAUAAUAUUUCCAGUCAGUUGCAUGAUGACUGCACUCUUAUCUUUCUCUUACAACAGUUUAUAAAAUUGGGCAUGCUUUCUUCUACACGUAUGUUAUUCUAUAAUCCUAACUUUAUUUAAUAUUAACUUUUGCGAGAUCUAGACACUAUAAAAGAUCUGGUGAAGAUGUUGAUUUAGUUAUCGCUUGCUUCAACAAACUUCUUGUUCCUGGUGGAUGCUUUCAGAUAAGUCUUCGGUGGAAGGUUCAAAGAUUGACUUUCUGAGGUCUACUUGGAACUUGCACUACCUAGGUACUGGAUGAAAGAGCUCUUUGAUGAAUUCUUCUGUCAGAUGUAAUAGCAUUGAGAUGCUGAAGGCUUCAAAUCUGGCCCAUCAGCUGCUGGUAUGCUAUAAUGAUAUGAAGAGCAUUUAAUUGUUUUUUCCUAAUAGCAGCAAAUGGAGCUUGGAUUGU